GGAAAGAAGCUGACGGGUUUCCUCUAAUGAUCUGCAGCCGGCAGCAGCUGGCUUGUCUGCUCCAAGGUUUGCUGCUGUCAUCCUGUAGGCAGUCGCUGCAUGAUCGCUUUGGGAAGAGAAGACAGCCAGCUGGUAGAGGGCAAACAGUGUUUGCAGUAGCAGACAAGGGACAACAGCCACGGGGAGAGGAGAAAAAACAGAGUCAGGUCCAGGGUACAGAGACAACCCACCUUACCGGUUUAACACCAGCCCAAAGGAAUACAUAGAACAUGGAAUGGAUAUUAGAAAUGUAGGUUGCCUCUCAGGCCGCAUUACAGUUGUAGGGGAACUGAUUCCAUUUAACAUAGAAAGGCUCACAGAUGAUAGUUUAGAUAUAUAGGCAUUAUCCAAUUAAGGGAACUUUGGAAGGAGCCCAUAUCCAGCCACCUGUACUAGAGGAUAGAGCGCUCUAAGUCAUGUUGGACUUUAGCCAAAUGUGCCUCAUGGUCUGAGCUUUGUACCUACCGCUGGCUGAGUUAUUGUGUCCACAGAAGAGAGACUUGGUGAGUGCUUGAAAGGAACUUUCUGGGUUCUUUCUUUUGUUUUUGCUUUUAUUUGUUUGUUUGUUUUCUUUUUUCUUUUCCUUAAGGAAAGUGGCUUCAUUAAAAAUUUUUCUGUCUCAUGAUGUCUCACCGGAUGGUGGGCAUUGAAACCCUCUCAUCAUCCACCUUACUACAGAGAACUGGGCGUGGAGAUUAUAACCCCUCCUAAUUGAGCACCUUUCAGAAAGGUCCAGCUUUCUGCUCAUCUAUAAACCACCUGAGACAAGGGAACAACUGUUCUAUAAGGUUCAAAUCCAGGCCGCUGAAGCUACAGGAGAACUAACAGGCGUGGGCAUCUUAACAAGUCACAUUGCCAUUCGUUAUCUACCAGCCUAGCAAGGUCCUGUGGUGAGAGACCCCGUGGGAACCUUGAUCAUCGGUGAAACAGGUAGAGAGACCGAGGAAGGACACUGCUAAAUGACUUCUCUAACACUCUUCAAAGGCUUCCUGGAGCUGGCUGGCAUUAAAGGCCAGGCCCUUGCUUCCUGCUCUACCACAUCUUGAUAGAUAUUCCCCAGGAACAAUGAGAACACACUCUCCAAUAAUUAUUAGUGACAAAGAUGAAGUUUCAGACAAUACAUAGGACAUUUCUCCAACAUGUUCUUUUCCUAUUGGGAUUGCUCAUUCCAUGGUUGUCAUUAGCAACAAGAUAAUCAAUGACAUAGAUUCAUAUAGUCAGUCCCGACUCAUAUCUAACUCACGUCCUAUAGCUCCACUACCUAAUUCACAACCACUGUAUCACAUGCUUGCUGAAAUGGGCUUAUUUUUAAAAUUAUUAUUGUUCUUAUCAUUAGUGUUUUUAUAAUGUGUGUGUGUAUGUGAGAGAGAGACAGAGAGAGACGGAGAGAGGGAGAGAGAGAGAUAGAGGGAGUGUGCAUUAGUGUUUCUACGUGUGUGUGUGGGGGGGGGGGAUAGACAGAGACAGAGAGACAGAGAGAGGAAGUAUGCAUUAGUUUUUCUAAGUGUGUGUGUGUAUGAGAGAGAGAGAAAGAGACAGAAAGAGGAAGUGUACAUUAGUGUUUCUAAGUGUGUGUGUGUGAGAGACAGAGACAAAGAAAGAGAGAGAGAGAUGGAGGGAGUGUGUGUGCACACAUGGAUGGAGGUUAGAGGACAACUUUGUGGAACUGUGGGACAGGUUCCCUCGUUUCUCCUUUACCUGGAUUCCAGGGAUCACACUUGGGCCACUGGACUCAUGCAACAAACGCUCUAUCUGAUGAGCUGCCUCACUAGCUCUUAAGUGUAUUUUUUUUUUUUCAAGACAAGGUUUCUCUGUGUAGCCCUGGCUGUCCUGGAACUCACUCUGUAGAUCAGCCUGGCCUCGAACUCAGAAAUCUGCCAGCCUCUGCCUCCCAAGUGCUGGGAUUAAAGGCAUGCGCCACCACUGCCCAGCUUCUAGGUGUAUUUUUAAAUUUGCAUCACACCCAUUCUUUCCAUGCUUCCUGUUUAUUGCUUGCUUGAGUAACCAUUCUGCUGACUGGGGCUUCAUCCUACCCUUCACAUUCUUUUCAUUAGCGAUUUCUUUGAUGCCAUCCCCUAGAUAUUUGUUUUAAUCUCUUAAUUUUUAUUGACAUGUAUUAUCAUUAUAUCUCACCAGGACCAUUGGCAUUUGUCUCCCUCUCCUCUUCAAAUUAUUCUCCACACCACCUCACUGUCAUUUUCCCAAAUUAUAAAUAUUGCUUUGUUAUUAUUUUGUCUGAAACUUUACGCUGUCUUCUUUGCAUCUACUGGUGCAAGCCAACUUGUUAUUUGUAGUGUCAGAUUCUAUAGACACAGAAAUCCUUAUGUUUUUUGCAUUUAUUGAGUUACUGUAUGCCUAACCCAUCUUUGCACAUACAGUUUCCUUCAUCUAAAACACCGUCUUCUGCUCCCUUUCCUCAUAUGUUCCCCUUAUUAUUCUGAUUCAUCCUUCAAAAUCCAGUAUACACAGGCCAAUGAGAUGGCUCAGUGGGUAAGGACACUUGUCCCUAAGCCCAAUGACUUGAGUUUGACCCUUGGCUUCCAUGUGAUGGAAGAAGAUCACCAACUCUCAAAAGCUGGUCUCCAACCUCCAUUCAUGUGCCAUAGCACUCACUUGCUCUACUGAUUAAUAAAUAGAUGUACAAAAUUAUUAAAGAGAAGAUAUAUAGAUGUUGGAGGUAUAGUUCAGUUGUAAACACUUUUCAUAGUAUGCACAAGCCCUGGGUUCCAUCCCCAGAACUGAAUAAUAAUAAUAAUAAUAAUGAUAAUGAUAAUGAUAAUAUAGCAACAACAACAACAACAACAAUAUCCAGUCAUCCCUAAAGGCAGAGCUUAUUUUUUGGUUUCUAUGUCAAGCCCUGCAUAUACUUCUAUUAUUACAUAGCACAUCACAUUAUAAACCCUUAUUUAUGUACUAUCAUGGUAUUUAUCUUUGUCCAAAUGCCUAGCACAAUGCCUGAUUGAAUAUCAAAAUAAAUAAGUGAAAUAGACAGAUUUA